CAGUGGUCUGUGGCCCAUGUUGUACGGCGGCUGCAUGGCCAACUGCGACCUGGAGGCGGAGCUGCUGGCAGGCGGCUUCAGCACUAUGGAGCACCACUCUGUGUUUCUGGUCGAGAACAAGAUGAAGCCGCGUUCCAAGCCUCAACCGGGCAUCGACCCCAUCAACCCGAUCCUGUAUGGGGUGGCCACCAAGUAACACGUGUGCUGCCGACCCAGGCCUGGCUGCCGCGCCUGACAGUCCAGAGCGCUGGCGCGAGGGAGUACGCCCGCGCACUGGGUGCAACUAAUGGCACUCUAUGACUGAGUGGAUUUCAUGCCCGGGCUUUCUACAGCUGUGAUUAGCAUUGAUGCAGGCUACCUAUUGUAAUGAGUAGGUUGUAGAGCAAUUAAAGUAGUGGUGAUGGUGUCUAAGGGGAGCGGUUUAUAAUAUGUUUAAGAGGAAUUCAUUUAGUUCAGUGUGUAGCUACUGGUGUGGCUACUGGGGCAACGAACGAGCCGUACUUAGGUGCUGAGCCUCUUCCACUCUUAGGGGUGAUAAUGAAGUUAGCCUCUUUUUUAGGUAAUGAGUUAACCGUCGUAUCUGAUAUUGAACACAGAUGACGUGAUUUUGUGCAUUUACACACCAGGAGGAAACAUUCUUAUGCCCAAGGUAUAGACGCAAGAUUUAUAGAUUUUUCCCCACGACUCAACCACUCACACAAAAAUCACACUCCCACAUAUUUUAUGAACUCACACUUCCACAUGUUUUUGGGAAACAAAGCGAAUAGUCAUGAAAUUUCAAUGAAUACGUAAAACAACGUCAAACAACGCCACAGGACGCUCCUGUCUGCGAGCGUUUCAAAAGCCGCUCGCGCCUGAAUGCCAUCGCUGUGUGUCAUGUGCCUACUGCGGCGAGUGCGCUAUGGCUGAAGUACGUGAACUAUGUGUGUUUUAUAAUUAAUUUCCGCAUUGCUUAUAGUGGACAUUUUGUGCUUAUCAUCCAAUCAGCCAGUGAAUGCCAGUCUGAUCUUCGUUUGUCCGCGAAUGACAGAAAAACCACGGGCCUAGAGAGAUAGGCAGGUGGUAUACGUACACCUAGCCGUUAUGCCGAGUGAAACGGUAUGGACAGGCCAACUCGCUUCAUGUCAAUAAAUUUUAUCGAGCGGGAAACCCCGCUGCCUAAUCCGA